rnacentral:rRNA from 1 species
GCUGGCGGCGCGCUUAACACAUGCAAGUCGAACGAGAAAGGGGAGCAAUCCCUGAGUAAAGUGGCGUACGGGUGAGUAACACGUGGAUGAUCUAUCUCUUUGUGGGGAAUAACCCUGGGAAACCGGGGAUAAUACCGCAUAAGCCCGAGAGGGGAAAGCAGCAAUGCGCUGAGAGAGGAGUCCGCGGCCGAUUAGCUAGUUGGCAGGGUAAAAGCCUACCAAGGCAGAGAUCGGUAGCCGGCCUGAGAGGGCACACGGCCACACUGGCACUGAAACACGGGCCAGACUCCUACGGGAGGCAGCAGUGGGGAAUCUUGCACAAUGGGGGCAACCCUGAUGCAGCGACGCCGCGUGAGCGAUGAAGCCCUUCGGGGUGUAAAGCUCUUUCGGCAGGGAAGAUUAUGACGGUACCUGCAGAAGCAGCUGCGGCUAACUACGUGCCAGCAGCCGCGGUAAUACGUAGGCAGCGAGCGUUGUUCGGAGUUACUGGGCGUAAAGGGUGUGUAGGCGGUUGUUUAAGUUUGGUGUGAAAUCUCCCGGCUCAACUGGGAGGGUGCGCCGAAUACUGAAUGACUUCGAGUGCGGGAGAGGAGAGUGGAAUUCCUGGUGUAGCGGUGAAAUGCGUAGAUAUCAGGAGGAACACCGGUGGUGUAGACGGCUCUCUGGACCGUAACUGACGCUGAGACACGAA